AGUGAACGCUGGCGGUAGGCCUAACACAUGCAAUUCGAACGGCAGCACAGUAAGAGCUUGCUCUUACGGGUGGCGAGUUGCGGACGGGUGAGGAAUACAUCGGAAUCUACUUUUUCGUGGGGGAUAACGUAGGGAAACUUACGCUAAUACCGCAUACGACCUACGGGUGAAAGCAGGGGAUCUUCGGACCUUGCGCGAUUGAAUGAGCCGAUGUCGGAUUAGCUAGUUGGCGGGGUAAAGGCCCACCAAGGCGACGAUCCGUAGCUGGUCUGAGAGGAUGAUCAGCCACACUGGAACUGAGACACGGUCCAGACUCCUACGGGAGGCAGCAGUGGGGAAUAUUGGACAAUGGGCGCAAGCCUGAUCCAGCCAUACCGCGUGGGUGAAGAAGGCCUUCGGGUUGUAAAGCCCUUUUGUUGGGAAAGAAAAGCAGCAGGUUAAUACCCCGCUGUUCUGACGGUACCCAAAGAAUAAGCACCGGCUAACUUCGUG
rnacentral:rRNA from 1 species